rnacentral:rRNA from 1 species
UUUUAUGGAGAGUUUGAUCCUGGCUCAGGAUGAACGCUGGCGGCGUGCCUAAUACAUGCAAGUCGAGCGAACAGACGAGGAGCUUGCUCCUCUGACGUUAGCGGCGGACGGGUGAGUAACACGUGGAUAACCUACCUAUAAGACUGGGAUAACUUCGGGAAACCGGAGCUAAUACCGGAUAAUAUAUUGAACCGCAUGGUUCAAUAGUGAAAGACGGUUUUGCUGUCACUUAUAGAUGGAUCCGCGCCGCAUUAGCUAGUUGGUAAGGUAACGGCUUACCAAGGCAACGAUGCGUAGCCGACCUGAGAGGGUGAUCGGCCACACUGGAACUGAGACACGGUCCAGACUCCUACGGGAGGCAGCAGUAGGGAAUCUUCCGCAAUGGGCGAAAGCCUGACGGAGCAACGCCGCGUGAGUGAUGAAGGUCUUCGGAUCGUAAAACUCUGUUAUUAGGGAAGAACAAAUGUGUAAGUAACUAUGCACGUC